UAAAAAUAAAAAAUAAAAAAUAGGUUUAAACCAUUUAAGUGUUCCUAUUUUUGUUAGGUAUUCUCAAUUUGGUCCCUUCUUUUAAAGUUUCCCAAUUGAGUCCUUAUAACUGCUAAUUUCAACCCAUUGAGUCCCUGUCGUCAAAUUUCGUUAACGGAGUUAACUUUCUGGACAGGUGGUGGACUGACCUGUCUAGUUACUUAAACGUGGCAUAUUUAGAAGUGAAACGUGGCCCCUGACUACCUUCAACGCCUCUCAGGCCACCGCAGAACCGUCGUUCCUCGCUCAGCACAGCAACACCAUCGUGAAGUUCAUCUUCUUCCUCCGCUACGAGUUCAUCUUCUUCCUCAGGCCUCUAAUAUCAUCUGCGUCUUCACCAUCUUCUUCUCCUUCACCAUAGAACCACUACUCCUUCGUCGGACAACCAUCAACCUUCAAAUCCUCCCCAGUAUACACUUAACACCCAAACUGCAAAACCUCAUUACGAAGAACCCUAAAACCCAAUCCGCAAAUUUCAUUCUCAACCGUAAGCUUCAUUUUUCCCUAUGCAUCAAACCUGCAAAAGGAAACCCAGGUCUUUUCUCCUCCACCAAGAAUCCAUACCUCACCUCAGCUACUACCAUGAUAUUGAGUAAUAAGUCGUGCAAACGCAACACACUUGUCCUCGCUACUGUAAAAUAGAUACACAUAUAUUAUUUUUCUGAUUUGGGCAGAGAGCAAACGGUAACUUUUCUCACAUUCCCUUUCAUGCUCAGAAACCUCUCCCCUCUGCAAUAAAUACACUCUUCACCAGGUACAUUCACUUUUCCAUGAGCUUGAAGCCAUCGUUUUCACCAAGUACAUUCACCUCUCCCCAAUCGCAAACGGUAACUUUUCUCACAUUCAUGUUGCAACUCCA
rnacentral:lncRNA from 1 species